AGAUUCAUUACUUUUCUAGACACAAAUUCUGGAAACACAGACAGGUCCACUCCACAGACAGCAUAACCACACUACCAAGCACGGUAUCAAAAUCACGUAUNAAAUCUCAUAAAGUAAAAGUUAACAAACACCCUAUUAAUUAAGAGGAAAUUUAAAAAUUGUUCAUAAGUAGGUUUAAUAAUAGGUUUGACAAUAAAAUAUUAAAAAUUAAUUUUUUUAUACAAUUAAAUGAGAUGAGGUUGUCACGACCCAAAAUUCACAAUAGUGAUCGGCGCACGAACUAGAACAUCCUAGUCAGGCAAGUCUAUUGACGACACUUGACACACUAUAUAAUUUAAACAAUUUUUAAAUUGAUUUUCACUGAAAAUGAUAUCCACUGAAAUUUCGACAUAGUACCUUUGUCUUUUGAAUAUUUUCCAAGAUAUGAAUCAUGUCUAUAAACUUGUAUUAUCAGCCAGAAUCUCAAAGUGACGUAACUAGAUGUUUGUACAACUCAAAACAAAACAUUUCUAAACUACCAAUAGGCUCAAAACAGCGACAUUGAUGGAUCUUUAACCAUGCUAGAAGCUUUCUACGCAAUUGACUUUGCAACAUAACUGUAGUUUUCAAAACACCAUUCUUAAAACACAUGUCUAAAACCAUAUUUUACAACAUAACGAAAUUUAUGUCAAAAUAUGUAUCAUCAAAAGUCAAUUGAAAAUUUACUACUUAUAAUCAUAAGUAAAUCCAAAUCCAAAUUCAAAUUCAAAUCCAAAUCCAAAUCUAAAUCCAAUCCAAAUGGAGUACAUAUUAAUAUCAAAAUCUUCAAAAACACAAUUUCAAAACCAUGCUUUAGAAUAUAUCAAAACUAGUUUCACGAACAUAUCAAAAAUAGAAACUAUCACAACAAUGUAUUUUCCGCAACAUAUAAUCCAUAUCUUGGUAUUACAUGUAUAGACCCUAUAAACCAUUAUUAAUAAUCUCUUUUUGCAGCAAAAAAGUUACAUAUAAUUUCACUACUAGUCAUUACUUUUAUUUGAGUUACUCAAAGUCAGCCUUCUGUCCCUCCAAUCCCUAAUGUUCUUUAUCCAAUAUAUCCCUUUAAAUAACCAAAACAAAGCAAAGUCUGCUUGCUAAUCUCCAAAAACAGUAAGAAUUUCCCUGUUUCCAAGCCAUAUCACUCCUUUACAGCUACAACUGCCAAACUAUCCCGUUCAAUUCAAUCACUAUAUUGUGCUUCUUCAAUUCCAACGAAGCUAUCACUUUUCGGUGUUCUAACCAGGGCUAACUGCUCAAAGCCAUAACAGUGUUGGUGGUGCAGUAAAAAGUGCUACUGCAUAACGACACUACCAGCGCUAUUCUUAACUAUCAACACAGAUUCAUUACUUUUCUAGACACAAAUUCUGGAAACACAGACAGGUCCACUCCACAGACAGCAUAACCACACUACCAAGCACGGUAUCAAAAUCACGUAUAUCUAGUAUUUCAUGCUAGGCUUGGUAUUAGCUAUCAGAAAAGUUUUGCACCUCAAUUAAGAAAGCUAUCAAAUGCUUCAAAAUUAAAGAAUAACUUAUUUCUAUAAAAUAUCCAAUUAGGUUCAUAACUGUUUUCAACUUAUUUCCAUAAGCUCUGCAUAAUAACUUAUCAAAACAACUU
rnacentral:lncRNA from 1 species